CAGAAUAUUGUAAAGCUGGACGAGUUAUAGUGAAACAGGUAUAUGUCUGCUCAUCUGGCAAUCUUUGGACAUCACUGGAUGGUACUUCCAGCAUGAAGACCAGCUAGUUGCCUCACCUGUCUUGACAUUGUUAAAGUACUUUGAGACAGUGAAAAGACAUGGCUCUAAAUUACUGCAUCAGAGAUCUAUCCAGUUAGUAAAUCUGAGGAAAACAAUAAAGCAUCAUUUGGAGCUACUUAUAUCACUGUCUUAACGAGUUGUCUGCAGACGGGGCAUCCUUAAAAACUUCAGUCGCACUCGUCACUUAGAAUAGAAAACUUCAUAAUUUUAUUAC